GGGUGAUUAGCUCAGCCGGGAUAGCAUCUGCCUUACAAGCAGAGGGUCGGCGGUUCUAUCCCUUCAUCACCCACCA
rnacentral:tRNA from 1 species